rnacentral:rRNA from 1 species
UACGGAGGGUGCGAGCGUUGUUCGGAAUUAUUGGGCGUAAAGCGCGCGCAGGCGGGAAUUUAAGUCAGAUGUGAAAUCCCUUGGCUUAACUGAGGACGUGCAUUUGAUACUGGAUUUCUUGAGUCCUGGAUGGGGUGGCGGAAUUCCCAGUGUAGAGGUGAAAUUCGUAGAUAUUGGGAGGAACACCAGUGGCGAAGGCGGCCACCUGGACAGUGACUGACGCUGAGGCGCGAAAGCAUGGGUAG